AGGGAAUCUUCCACAAUGGACGCAAGUCUGAUGGAGCAACGCCGCGUGAGUGAAGAAGGUUUUCGGACCGUAAAGCUCUGUUGUUGGUGAAGAAGGAUAGAGGUAGUAACUGGCCUUUAUUUGACGGUAAUCAACCAGAAAGUCACGGCUAACUACGUGCCAGCAGCCGCGGUAAAUCGUAGGUGGCAAGCGUUGUCCGGAUUUAUUGGGCGUAAAGCGAGCGCAGGCGGAAGAAUAAGUCUGAUGUGAAAGCCCUCGGCUUAACCGAGGAAUUGCAUCGGAAACUGUUUUUCUUGAGUGCAGAAGAGGAGAGUAGAACUCCAUGUGUAGCGGUGGAAUGCGUAGAUAUAUGGAAGAAUACCAGUGGCGAAGGCGGCUCUCUGGUCUGCAACUGACGCUGAGGCUCGAAAGCAUGGGUAGCGAACAGGAUUAGAUACCCUGGUAGUCCAUGCCGUAAACGAUGAGUGCUAAGUGUUGGGAGGCUUCCGCCUCUCAGUGCUGCAGCUAACGCAUUAAGCACUCCGCCUGGGGGAGUACGACCGCAAGGUUGAAACUCUA
rnacentral:rRNA from 1 species